GAUGGUUCGAUUAGUCUUUCGCCCCUAUACCCAGUUCAUACGAUCGAUUUGCACGUCAGAAUCGCUACGGACCUCCAUCAGGGUUUCCCCUGACUUCAUCCUGACCAGGCAUAGUUCACCAUCUUUCGGGUCCCAGCGUGUACGCUCUUGGUGCGCCACAACUUGCAAUAAGUAUGCAACGCCCCGGGAAUUCGGCAAUUAUACAUAUAUACAUUCACUUUCAUUACGCCUUUAGGUUUAUUAUAAAUACCCAAUGACUUGCGCACAUGCUAGAUG
rnacentral:rRNA from 1 species